AACCCAUGUUGAGAACUUUUCCGUAGGAGAUCCUUGAACCGUUCCCAUGUCUCAAAGAGAGACUCCAAUCCCAUUUGCAUAAAAGAAGGGAUCUCAUUCCUAUGCUU